UCACUCCCACACACACAGCCUAAGGUUGUGUUAGUUUAGUCAGAAGUUGUGUUCCCAGCGUUGGGUUACACUGAUUUCAGUCUCUAUUUUGAAAUCAACAAAUAAAUGUUUUGAAACCUAAGUGAAUGGUUUAGUUUGCAUCCUUGUGAAAUUUGAUCUAGCUUGUUUGGGACCAUGGUUCUAUCCUGCCAAGAAUAAUCUUCAUUCUGAAAUUGAUUUGUGUUGUCUAUGGUACUGAAAAACAUUCUUGCUGUAGGACGAGUCACUGUUAAUAUUCUGAAGAGAAUAAGCCAGAGAGAUAGAGCCUGGCAGAACCUUCUACUGGAAACCUUCAUUCCUAACAGAUGGUCAUUGGGCCCUGCAGGAUCCUACACUGUGCUAGAUACUCAUUGGCCAUCGUCAACAAAGGAAGAAUAUAUGGAUGUUCUAUUUCCCAAGGCUUUUCUUAUCUGAAGUGUUGCUUCAUAUGACAACUUGAAAGGUACGCAAUUCUCGAGUUUCAAAAUUUCUACUUUAAAAUGCAACUACACACCUCCACUAUCUUCUGGCAUCUAAUACAAGGAUGUUUUCUGAGAGGACAUCAGCCACCCGAGCUUGGAAGAAAGAUGUACAGAGGAUUGGGACACUGCUUUCCAUCUCUUCCAAG